rnacentral:rRNA from 1 species
AUACGGAGGGUGCAAGCGUUAAUCGGAAUUACUGGGCGUAAAGCGUGCGUAGGUGGUUUGUUAAGUCAGAUGUGAAAGCCCCGGGCUAAACCUGGGAACUGCAUUUGAAACUGGCAUACUAGAGUAUAGGAGAGGAAAGUGGAAUUUCAGGUGUAGCGGUGAAAUGCGUAGAUAUCUGAAGGAACAUCAAUGGCGAAGGCAGCUUUCUGGACUAAUACUGACACUGAGGUACGAAAGCGUGGGUAGCAAACAGGAUUAGAAACCCUAGUAGUCC